rnacentral:rRNA from 1 species
GACGAACGCUGGCGGCGUGCUUAACACAUGCAAGUCGAACGGAAAGGCCCUGCUUUUGUGGGGUUCUCGAUUGGCGAACGCGUGAGUAACACGCGAGUAUCCUGCCCUUGUCUUUGUGAUAUCUUCAGGAAACUCGGGCUAAUACCGCAUAGGAGCUCCUGCUCCUUGGUGGUGGUUGGUAACUUCCGGCGGUUGUGGAUGGUCUCGCUGCUUAUCAGCUUGUUUGUGGGGUUGUUGCUUACCAAGGCUUUGACGGGUAGCCGGCCUGAGCGGGGGACCGGCGACAUUGGGACUAAGGUACGGACCAGACGCGUACGGGAGGCAGAAGUGGGGAAUAUGGCACAAUAGGGGGAAGCGUGAGGCAGAAACGCCGCGUGCGGGAUGACGGGCUACGGGUUGUAAACCGCUUUAGCCUGGAACGAAGAGUGAGUGACGGUAAUGGGUAAAAAAGCACCGGCUAACUACGUG